GCUAACAUAGCAUAGUGGUUUCAGUGUUUUACACUAUGACUCUGGAGACCAGGGUUCAAUGCCCAGCUCAGCC